CGGGGGCCCCGCGGCUCCGUGCUGAGGGUCGGCGCCCGUGCAGCGCGAGCAGCGCGGCCGGGGCCUGCAGAAAGUUUCCGCGGCGGCAGGUGGACGGCAGGCUGGGACCUGUUGCAAUUCCUGAUCGUUCUGGCCGCGUUUCAUCAAGCAGUUGUGACUUGAGAACUGUCCCGGCCCUCGCGCCCCAUAACCACGCGGUUUCCUUGGCCUCCUUGGCGCUUACGUCCCUUCUUGUCCCCCAGCAAGCUUCCUGCACGGCGUAACCGAGCCGCGUUUUGCGCCCCGUCGGGCGGCGGAAGGGUUAAGUCCCGCUGCGCUGAGCGUUUCGGCGCUCGUUGGCUGCCGGCCCAGCGCUCUCGGUGCCGUAUUGCAUCAGAGCGGGCAGGAGCACCUCGCUGCGCUCCCCCUCCGCGCGCUGUACUUGGAGCGCUUCGCCGUUUCCCACGGCAUGUUAAUUUUUUCCCUCCGUGGUCUCCAGGAUUCCUUCUCACGGGUUUCUUGGAGGAUGUUCUGCCCCGCUCCUCCCACCCAGGUUGAGGGCAGGGCGCCGCUCCGCUCUGCCCUACGCCGGGCGCCUGGAGCCCAUCUUUGCACCUCCGGCACACGGCGAGCCCUCGGUGCCGAGACGCUCCCCGCUCGGUGUCGAAACGUCGCCGCAGAGCAGUCCCGUGCGUUGCCCAGCGAGGUUCCCAGUAAGUGCGGCUGGCGCGGGGCCAGGCUGCGCUGCCAAAGCGCCCGUGGGUUCGGCGCUCUGGAUGAAAAUUUGGAUGUGCUUCACAGCACGGGGAGCUGCGGGAGCCUGGCUCGGGGCAGGAGCUCCCAGGGCUGGGUGGGUGUCCGUUCCCUCGGCUCUCACAUCAGUGUCAGGUGGGUCAGCCCGGCCCGGCCCCCUCCAUUUCACGUGGAAGCGACAGGUUUUUGAUUUUUUUUUAUUAAAAAAAAAAAAAAAAGAAGAAGAAGAUUUGGGAUUUAAUGCCUCCUUUGUUGUCAGUCUCUUAACAACUGAGGAGAAGAGACAUUGAAAUGCUGAGCCAACCCAUGGGACGGGUUUUAAAGACACUCCUAGGCACCUAAAACGUGGGUUCCUAAACACCUUUACAAAUGUGGAUUCAUGGGACUGACGCAGAGCUGCCUCAUAAACUUUUGAUGCCCUGGAGCUUCUAGCCAAGACUUGCAGGUAAACGAUUGUCCCAUGGGUGUAAGCCAUUAAUCAUCAGCAGCAUGAAACAAAGAGUGUUCACGUAUGGCUACCACCCAGAAAUCUUUGCUGUUCCCUUGCAUACUCGAUGCCUUCAAUACCUAAAGCCUAAAGGAGGAUGAUGACUGGUGUGAACCCAGGAGGCACUGGUGCCUGGACCCCCGAAUAUGGGGCUGCCUGGCAGUCACCCCUUUACCUGUUGGAGCAUUCUGCAGUGGUGGGGCACCAUUCCUCAAAGCAAAGGCAUCCACCUAGGCAGUCUGCUUGCAGGAUAUGCUGAUGUGUGAUGCAGGUGUCUACCAGGCUCUUGUGACCCCCCUACACAGCCAUUCCGGCAGUAAGUCAGAGAGCAAAGCCUCAGUGUGUGCUCACGCUGCUGGGCUUGGAGGUCAGUGCUCUUGGUGAACCCUCAGUGUCAUCCCUCCCUUUGAUCAGAUCAUCAGAUACACAUGCCCAUAUGCUUGCCAUGCACACCAUUUGAUAGUGAGCUGGUGUAUAGAUACCGUGAGGCGGGCUUUGCGUUCCUUUAACGUCAUAAAUCAGUAUGAAAUCCAAAGACCUGGAUUCUGAUGUUUUUAAGGACUCGUCAGAACAACCACCUUCCUCAUUUCAGGUGUCUCUAAACUUGCUAAAUACUUUGGAUGGGAUCGGUGAGCUGCAGGGCCUGUUGGAGGCUCAUCCCUUCUCCAGCUAUUUUUCACAGAGGGACAAUCCUGGCUGAUGACUUUUUCUCACCUGAUUUUGUAGUAAUUGUCAAUCGUAUCGUCGGGUCUUCUGGUCUGUUUCACAAGUGCCUACUGCAAUGCUCAACUUUGUGUUAAUGUAAGAUAAUACGUCUCCAUCUGUAGAUCGGCUUGACAGCACAGCUUGAGGACCAUAUGGCCUUGACUCUGACUGCCCACCAGUUUUUCAAUAUUACCCCCAAGACUCUUUCAUUUCCUUUGUCAGACAGGAUUAUUAGAAUUCUCUGUUUUGCUCCAAAUAAAUGCAAAAAGAAUUAGUCUUGCCCAUUUCCAUUUUUUUUUUCCCUGGCUGGAAGGAGUGCAGCCUUGCAGGAGCAUCCCGAUGCUUCCCUGUCUGCAGCACCAAGAGUCUGCUCUGCGGAGCCUUCCCGACGAGGAUAACAACUUACCCUGAAUUUUGCUUUUUGACAGAUUGCACUUGAUUGAAAGAAUAAAGACCGUGUUGUAAUAGCAGCGCAGCCACAGUGCCAAAGUGGUGGUUGCUUCUGCUUCCUGGCUGUGGCACCGGUCAGGCCCUGCAGGCUUUCUGCUCCCCUCUUACCUUUCUGCAAAUUUGGUACAAUUGCCUUUCCCUUUCUUCAGCCUUUGUCCCAGAUGACUGCAGAGGUCUGGCCAGGAUGUGUGCUGUCUUCCUGUGGUGUUGCAUAGCGCUCAGCGCAGCGAAGCUUCCCUCUUGAUGGAUGCCUUAGAGAUCCCACCCUUGAAGAUCAGAUCUGGAAAUUUCCAGGUGCGGUGUAUUGGGAGUGCAGUUUUCCUACCUCGGUGCUUGAGGGCUGCGACCCUGAAAUGGUGGUGGAAAUCAAGUACUGUCCCCAGCCAGAUAACCUACAGACAAACUGAGCAGAAUUUGGGCACUUCAGUCCUCAACAGAAAAGGCACAGAGGAGGGAUGUGGGGGGCUGCCCAGCCAUGUACAUGAAAGCUGGGAUUUCCUCGUCCAAGUACUUGGAGUACCAGAGUUGGCUGAGUGCGACAGGUGCUGUGACCUUAGCAGAAGCUGAAUUUCCCAGCUGCACCGUACCCGUUCCUCUUACAUAAGAACGCCACAAAAGACACUGAAGGAAAGCACUGUGGGCAUCACAUUCACAUCUGAUUUAACCAGCGACUCUCCCCAUCCUUCAAUCCUGAGCUGAAUACAAAAAGGACAACAGCUUUCCAGGUAGAGCGAUGUGAUAAAACAGGUGAUUUCUAAAAGCAAGUAAAGAACCCUAAAUUGUUGCCGCUCACCUUGGUAUUCAAAACUCAAAACCUCCACUCAAGAUCUCCUAAGACGCAAAGUGAUCUUUACCACAGUUGUACAAGACAGAUCCCUGG
ensembl:lncRNA